rnacentral:rRNA from 1 species
UACGGAGGGUGCAAGCGUUAUCCGGAUUUACUGGGUUUAAAGGGUGCGUAGGUGGGUUGGUAAGUCAGUGGUGAAAUACUUUCGCUUAACGAAGGAACUGCCAUUGAUACUAUCAAUCUUGAAUACAGUGGAGGUGGGCGGAAUGCGUCAUGUAGUGGUGAAAUACUUAGAUAUGACGCAGAACACCUAUGCGAAGGCAGCUCGCUACACUGUUAUUGACACUGAGGCACGGAAAGCGUGGG